UCAGAUCAAGUCAGUCAAAACUUAAACAGGGGAAGGGGAGGGAUUCACAAGGACCCACCCUUAGCUAAGGAGCUGCUGGAGUUGAUGACCACUGAAAAAGAGAUUCAUUUUUGCUUGGAGGUGUGGCCAGUCCGCUCUCUCCAAGGCGAACCCGCCCACCCCACAACGUCCCUCUGGCUGCGCUACAUCCUGGGACCAACCUCCAUGUCAGAGAUGCUACCAAAGCGCCCACAGGACCCGACACUGGCCCAACUUUGGAGAAGACCGCCAGAGAGCAAGAGACACACAGGCGCAGAAGAAACACGGAAGCUCCCUUCCCAGAGUCCCUGUUUGUGACGUCGCCGCGGACGAGACUGCAUUUCCCACAAUUCUCUGCGAGCAAGUUUCUCGAAGCCAAGGAAGGUAAUUUGAAACGUUCCUGAGUUACUGUCCGGCUCUUGGCAGAAAAGAAGGGGUGAAAAAAGCCACUUCUACAAGUGGAGAGCUACAGGGAGUCGGGCUGCUGCGUUAAAAUGUUUGGAUUUUCAAAGUGAGAUGUUUGAGUAUGAAUUGAACCUUUGACAGCAAUGUUUAUUAGGUAUACUGGAUACUUUGGGUCGAUAUAUUGUGAUUUUUAAAACUCAACCUGCUCCCUACAAAAUAUUUUAAAUAUUAAAAAUUCUUCCCAGGUUCUUUAUACAGA